CGUUGAUAGGUUGGAUGUGGAAGCAUAGUGAUAUGUGAAGCUGACCAAUACUAAUUGCUCGUGAGGCUUGACUAU
rnacentral:rRNA from 1 species